rnacentral:rRNA from 1 species
UACGAAGGGGGCUAGCGUUGUUCGGAAUUACUGGGCGUAAAGCGCGCGCAGGCGGUUUUCCAAGUCAGUGGUGAAAGCCCGGAGCUCAACUCCGGAACUGCCAUUGAAACUGUUAAACUUGAGUACGAGAGAGGUGAGUGGAAUUCCCAGUGUAGAGGUGAAAUUCGUAGAUAUUGGGAAGAACACCGGUGGCGAAGGCGACAUCCUGGACCGGUAUUGACGCUGAGGCGCGAAAGCCAGGGGAGCAAACGGG